UUUGACAUUGAGAGUAUAAUGUGUUUUGUAAAAUCUGAGAAAUGAAGGAAUAUAUAAGAGAUGGUGUGAGAGGAGUGGAUGGUGUAGUUUUAUAGAGGGAUUCAGAAGAUAGAGAUGACACGUGGCACAAUUUUAGAGGGUGAAAAUCUUAUUUGAAAUCUGAGAUCACUAUUUGUAAAAAAAUAUCUGAAAAUCUUAUCAGACAUGGGACACGUGGCACAAUUUUAGAGGGUGAAAAUCUUAUCUGAAUUAUGAGAUUAUAAUUUUUUAAAAAUAUCUGAAAAUCUUAUAUGACAUGGGACACGUGGCACAAUUUUAGAGGGUGAAAAUUUUAUCAGAAAUCUGAGAUUAUAAUUUUUAUUAAUGAAUAUCCGAAAAUUUUAUCUGGAAUAAGACACGUGGCAACCGAGAUUCUCAUCCAAAAAUCUUAUCCGAAAAUUUAUUACAAAAGAUUAUCAAAAUUAAUGAUUUAAAGUAUAAAAAAAUCGGAAAUAAAGUACAAUGAAUAGUAAUUGCCCUAGACUUGCCCUAGACUUUACCCUCAUGGGUGGAACCACAAAUGGCAAGGCUGACACUAUUCACGUGAAUAGUGGCAGCCCUUGCUUGCCCUUGCCUUAGACUUUGCCCUCAUGGGUGGAGUUGUUCUUACGCCUUGAAUCAAAACACCACCACCACAGACCCAAUCGAUAGACUCUGGCAAUGCCCAGCUCUCCCUCUUCUCCCCCGAAUUUGUUCUCCCUCAUGACCACCACCCGCAAGCCACACACAGACCCAUCUCUCUUCGCCACCACAGCCACCCGCAAAACCCAGAACCAUCUCUCUUUGCCAUCUCUGUCAGACCACCACCAUCAAACCCAUAACCAGCCGCCAGAGACCCAAUCGAACCAUCAUCACCACCCAAUUCAACAACCAUCAUCACCUAAUUAAACCACCACAACCAUUAAUUAGUGUAACCAAAAAGAGAAAGGGGUGGGUGUUUGCAGCCAUCACAUAUCCAGAAGUGGAUUUGGCUCUCUUAAAAGUUGGGGUGCAGCAUGAAGAGAGAGUGAAAAGGAAUGAAGGAAGAAGAAAAGAGAGGAAAGAAUAGGAAGAAAAAAAGAAAUAGAAGGAACAGCCUGGAAAGGAAGAAAGAAAAAAAAAGGCUUUGGAAGGAAUAAGAAAGGAGGAAGAAAGAAACGGGCCAGAGAUAAGGAAGAAGAAGAAAAGUCAAUGGGGAGAAGAGGAAGAAAAAAAAGAAGAAAAAAAAGAAAAAAAGAAAAUAUAGUUUGAAGUGCGUGGUUCAAUUGUUUGUUUGAUCAGAGAUAAGAUAAUAAACCACCACAUACUCACUUAUUUGUUUUUCUUUUUAUUUAUUUUUAGGUAAAAAAAAGCCUUAAUUAAAAUUAAAAAUUAUAAUUUUAUUUAUUAAAAUUAAAUAUUAAAAUAAUUAUUUUUAGUCCGAC
rnacentral:lncRNA from 1 species